rnacentral:rRNA from 1 species
GACGAACGCUGGCGGCGUGCUUAACACAUGCAAGUCGAACGGAAAGGCCCUGCUUGCAGGGUACUCGAGUGGCGAACGGGUGAGUAAUACGCGGGUGAUCUGCCCUGCACUUCGGGAUAAGCCUGGGUAACUGGGUCUAAUACCGGAUAGGAGCCAUUUUUAGUGUGAUGGUUGGAAAGUUUUUUCGGUGUAGGAUGAGCUCGCGGCCUAUCAGCUUGUUGGUGGGGUAAGGGCCUACCAAGGCGGCGACGGGUAGCCGGCCUGAGAGGGUGGACGGCCACAUUGGGACUGGGAUACGGCCCAGGCUCCUACGGGAGGCAGCAGUGGGGAAUAUUGCACAAUGGGCACGAGCCUGAUGCAGCGACGCCGCGUGGGGGAUGACGGCCUUCGGGUUGUAAACUCCUUUCGCUAGGGACGGAGCUUUUAGUGACGGUACCUAGAUAAGAAGCACCGGCUAACUACGUG